rnacentral:rRNA from 1 species
AUUGAACGCUGGCGGCAGGCCUAACACAUGCAAGUCGAACGGUAACAGGAAGAAGCUUGCUUCUUUGCUGACGAGUGGCGGACGGGUGAGUAAUGUCUGGGAAACUGCCUGAUGGAGGGGGAUAACUACUGGAAACGGUAGCUAAUACCGCAUAACGUCGCAAGACCAAAGAGGGGGACCUUCGGGCCUCUUGCCAUCGGAUGUGCCCAGAUGGGAUUAGCUAGUAGGUUGGGUAACGGCUCACCUAGGCGACGAUCCCUAGCUGGUCUGAGAGGAUGACCAGCCACACUGGAACUGAGACACGGUCCAGACUCCUACGGGAGGCAGCAGUGGGGAAUAUUGCACAAUGGGCGCAAGCCUGAUGCAGCCAUGCCGCGUGUAUGAAGAAGGCCUUCGGGUUGUAAAGUACUUUCAGCGGGGAGGAAGGGAGUAAAGUUAAUACCUUUACUCAUUGACGUUACCCGCAGAAGAAGCACCGGCUAACUCCGUG